AGCGUGAGUUAUCCAAAUACUACCUUCCUUUUCCUUCUGCAUACAAGGCAAGGCAUGUGAAGCAAAAGGUUAAGCUGACAGGGACAUGACUGGAUAAUCUCUCCUGUGCUAUGACAAGGAUAGGCGUCUCUAGGACUCCAGCAAUUACAGCGGAAACUACAUUCACUCCUCUUGAGCUGGAGAAAAUAUUUCCAGAGACUGAGUUGCUUCUAGCAAGAAAUUCCCGGUCAGCUCAUCUUUCUGGGAAAGCAGGUGCUCUCCCCUCUACACUGGGCUUGCCGUCUACUCCUCUAGAUCAAGGUGCCAGAGUCCUGGAAUCAUGCAGCCUUCUGGGGGGAUUUCGAUUCUCCCUCACCAAGAGAGCCAGACCUUCCUUAAUUGGACCCUCUGAUCAGGG
rnacentral:lncRNA from 1 species